GGCGGGGAUGCGGGGGAGCGCCCGGCUCCUGUGCGGCUCCUGCGGGGAGCGCCCUGCGGAGCGGGGUCGUCGGAGAGGGCCUCGGAUGACUCGCCGCGUCCUCGAGGUCUCCGGAAGCCUAGUUAUUACUACUGUUCGGAUCUGGGGAGCAAUGUGCGAAUUUCCCGAACUGAAGGAAUUCCGUGGAAGUAUCUUUGAAGACCUCUUUUGGCCCCAAGUGCUUGUUUUUAAACUUUUUUUUAUUUUUAAAACGGAUUUAAAGUCAUCAACACGACAGCUGGCCAACCUUUUUAGAACUCAUAUUAGAUUUUAAUACUUUACAGAUAUUUGGAAAUUAACAGCGCAAUACUGAGCCUGUGGUAGUGGCUCUACGGCUUGACUUGCUUUUGAAGAUUUUCAGAUGAGCUAAAAAAAAAAAAAAAAAUUAAUGAAAACACCUGAUGUUCAGCAAUAUACCAUGAUGUCUGAGGAAGUGAACAGGAGGGCGCCUGGGUAGCUCAGUCAGUACUGAGAAAGAAAGUAGGAUUUAUGAAAGUUUUCUUCUCACCAAUAACAAGGGAUUGUACACACACCACAGAAGAAUGGGCCAGGA